GACGUAGGGCGCGAGCGUUGUCCGGAUUUAUUGGGCGUAAAGAGCUCGUAGGCGGCUUGUUACGUCGGAUGUGAAAACCCACGGCUCAACUGUGGGCUUGCAUCCGAUACGGGCAGGCUAGAGUUCGGUAGGGGAGACUGGAAUUCCUGGUGUAGCGGUGAAAUGCGCAGAUAUCAGGAGGAACACCGGUGGCGAAGGCGGGUCUCUGGGCCGAUACUGACGCUGAGGAGCGAAAGCGUGGGGAGCGAACAGG
rnacentral:rRNA from 1 species